AGUCUCACUGUACCAGGCGGCCG
rnacentral:piRNA from 1 species